rnacentral:tRNA from 1 species
UUAGUUCAGUCGGUAGAACGGUGGACUGUUAAUCCAUAUGUCGCUGGUUCAAGUCCA